rnacentral:lncRNA from 8 species
AUGCUCUACUCUACUCUACUCUACUCUACUCUACUCUACCCUACUCUGCCCCACUCUACUCUGCCCUACUCUGCCCUACUCUACUCUGCCCUUCUUUGCUCUACUCUACUCUGCCCUUCUCUGCUCUACUCUGCCCUGCUCUACUCUGCUCUACUCUGCCCUGCUCUACUCUACUCUUCUCCGCUCUACUCUACUCUGCCCUGCUCUACUCUGCCCUACUCUACUCUGCUCUGCUCUACUCUACUCUGCCCUUCUCUGCUCUACUCUACUCUGCCCUUCUCUGCUCUACUCUGCCCUACUCUACUCUACUCUACUCUGACCUGCUCUGCUCUACUCUGCCCUGCUCUACUCUACUCUGCCCUGCUCUACUCUACUCUGCCCUGCCCUACUCUACUCUACUCUGCCCUACUCUACUCUGCCCUACUCUACUCUGCCCUUCUUUGCUCUACUCUGCCCUGCUCUACUCUACUCUACUCUGCCCUAAUCUACUCUGCCCUUCUUUGUUCUACUCUACUCUGCCCUUCUCUGGUCUACUCUGCCCUGCUCUACUCUGCCCUUCUCUGCUUUACUCUGCCGUGCUCUACUCUACUCUUCUCCGCUCUACUCUACUCUGCCCUGCUCUACUCUGCCCUACUCUGCCCUUCUCUGCUCUACUCAACUCUGCCCUUCUCUGCUCUACUCUACUCUGCCCUUCUCUGCUCUACUCUUCUCUACUCUGCCCUGCCCUACUCUACUCUACUCUACUCUGCUCUGCUCUGCUCUACUCUACCCUGUCCUACUCUACUCUACUCUUCUCCGCUCUACUCUACUCUGCCCUGCUCUACUCUACUCUGCCCUUCUCUGCUUUACUCUGCCCUGCUCUACUCUACUCUGCUCUACUCUACUCUGCUCUGUUCUACUCGGCCCUUCUCUGCUCUACUCUACUCUGCCCUUCUCUGCUCUACUCUGCCCUGCUCUACUCUGCCCUGCUCUACUCUACUCAGCCCUUCUCUGCUCUACUCUGCCCUUUUCUGCUCUGCUCUCCUCUACUUUGCCCUUCUCUGCUCUACUCUGCCCUACUCUACUUUGCUCUGCUCUGCUGUCCCGGCCGGGAGGAGGCCAUGCCUUCCGCAUCCCCCAGCUCUGGGGUAA